rnacentral:SRP_RNA from 1 species
GCCAGGCGCGAUGGCGCGUACCUGUAGUCCCAGCUACUCGGGAGGCUGAGGUGGGAGGAUCGCUUGAGCCCAGGAGUUCUGGGCUGUAGUGCGUUAUGCUGAUCGGGUGUCCGCACUGAGUUCGGCAUCAAUAUGGUGACCUCCCGGGAGCGGGGGACCACCAGGUUGCCUAAGGAGGGGUUAACUGGCCCAGGUCAGAAACGGAGCAGGUCAAAACUCCCGUGCUGAUCAGUAGUGGGAUCGCACCUGUGAACAGCCACUGCACUCCAGCCUGGGCAACGUAGCAAGACUCCAUCUCU